rnacentral:rRNA from 1 species
GGAAUAUUGGUCAAUGGCCGAGAGGCUGAACCAGCCAAGUCGCGUGCAGGAAGACGGCCCUACGGGUUGUAAACUGCUUUUGCGGGAGGAUAAAGUUGCCCACGUGUGGGCAUUUGCAGGUAUCCCGUGAAUAAGGACCGGCUAAUUCCGUGCCAGCAGCCGCGGUAAUACGGAAGGUCCGGGCGUUAUCCGGAUUUAUUGGGUUUAAAGGGAGCGCAGGCUGGAGAUUAAGCGUGACGUGAAAUGCCGCGGCUCAACCGUGGAAGUGCGUCGCGAACUGGUUUCCUUGAGUGUAUUCGACGUCAGCGGAAUUCGUGGUGUAGCGGUGAAAUGCUUAGAUAUCACGAAGAACUCCGAUUGCGAAGGCAGCUGGCGAGGCUAUAACUGACGCUAAAGCUCGAAGGUGCGGGUAUCGAACA